ACCUUUUUCUUGUAGAAUACCUAGACCUACAGUAUUGGCAGUCGCCGUCAUAGUUAAUGAGGUGCCGAGACAUCUUGGUGACAGGAAAUUCUGGGAAUUGAGAUUGGUAGGAGGUGAUUUGGGGGUAAUGAUUGAAGAGGAACCAAAUUUCUUUUGGACUGUGACAGUAAAAGAAUUAGAGGAGUAGAGGAGGUAGUGACCGAAACCGUAUAAAUUCAUCGCCGGAGUAACUGCUGGGUUAAAGAUGGACUGAUCGUGGUUGGGAGUUGGGGAUGGUUUGAGCGCCACAGCCUUCGAUGGUGGUUUCAAACAGCUGUGUGCUGCCUUUGAUUGUUAUGAAUGAUUUUGAGCGCCAUGACCUCCGAUGGUGGUUCCAGACUGUCGCGUGCUGCCUUUGAUUAUUGUGGAUGGUUUUGAGUGCCACGGCCUCCGAUGGUGGUUUCGGACUGUCGUGUGCUACCUUUGAUUGUUGUGGAUGGUUUUAAGUGCCACGACCUCCAAUGGUGGUUUUGGAAUGCCGUGUGUUGCCUAUUGUUGUGAUGGAUGGAUUGAUGUGUUGGAUGGAUAGUUGUGUUGGAUGGGUUGUGAUGUGUAUGAUUGUGUGUGUAUAUAUAUUGUAUACUGAUCCAUAGUCAUUGUUGAAAUUGAUUGUGGCAUGAUCAUAUGCAUUAUCAUCGGCCAUAUUUAUUGUGGUUAUUUCGAUUAUUUGCUCUUUGUUAAUGUAGAAUUAAUCUAUUCUAUAUCUUGUUCGUUGUU